UACGUAGGGUGCAAGCGUUGUCCGGAAUUAUUGGGCGUAAAGAGCUCGUAGGCGGUCUGUCGCGUCGGAUGUGAAAACCCAGGGCUCAACCCUGGGCCUGCAUUCGAUACGGGCAGACUAGAGUUCGGUAGGGGAGACUGGAAUUCCUGGUGUAGCGGUGAAAUGCGCAGAUAUCAGGAGGAACACCCGGUGGCGAAGGGCGGUUCUCUGGGCAUUACCUGACGCUGAGGAGCGAAAGUGUGGGGAGCGAACAGG
rnacentral:rRNA from 1 species